ACGGAGGGUGCAAGCGUUGUUCGGAAUUAUUGGGCGUAAAGGGCGCGUAGGUGGUUGUGAAAGUCAGAUGUGAAAUACUUCGGCUCAACUGAAGAACUGCAUCUGAUACUCCAUAACUCGAGUCUAGGAGAGGGAAACGGAAUUCCAGGUGUAGAGGUGAAAUGCGUAGAUAUCUGGAGGAAUACCAGUGGCGAAGGCGGCUUCCUGGCCUAAGACUGACGCUGAGGUGCGAAAGCGUGGGGAGCAAACAG
rnacentral:rRNA from 1 species